rnacentral:rRNA from 1 species
GACGAACUGUCCUAACGUUGUUCGGAAUCACUGGGCUUAAAGGGCGCGUAGGCGGUCCAUCAAGUCAGGGGUGAAAUCCUGCAGCUUAACUGUAGAAGUGCCUUUGAUACUGAUGGUCUUGAGGGAGAUAGGGGUGUGCGGAACUUCCAGUGGAGCGGUGAAAUGCGUUGAUAUUGGAAGGAACGCCGGAGGCGAAAGCGGCGCACUGGAUCUCUUCUGACGCUGAGGCGCGAAAGCUAGGGGAGCAAACGGGG